UAGAUACAAUUCUGUCAUAUUUUCUCUCUUUUGGGCUUCAGCCACACCCAUGUAUCCUUGUAAACUGUAAUAAGUAAUAACUUAUUCAAUUAAAAAAAUCAAAUGGGUAUUUAGAACGUAGUAAAUGUAGCUUUUUCAGUAUAAAUCUUAUGCCUUGGUAUUUUACUUGUUCCACAUUUUCAGCCUCCCCCCAUUUCGAAUCCUAGCUCUGCCCUUGUAUAUAAUGUUACCAAAAUGUGAUAAUGCUCGAUAUCAUGUAGUAAACAAAACAGUUUCUUAUGUUCGUGCGAAUUUUUAUGGAACUAGGGACAUAGAUUAGACGCAGUUUGAAUUUUUCCGUGAAAAUCAUUAUAACUCUACUUCUGUUAAAUGGACUGUUGCUUUGGAUGAUAAAAAAGUGCCCUGAUAUCGCUUUUGUAUCGUUUUAUAAAUACCUUUAAUCUCAACAAGAAACCACAAAGUCACAAACAACAAUUUUAAGCUAGGUUACUAGUUAUGUUCCAAUUCCCUCGGUCACAUUUUUGUUUUGUUGGACAUUCACCAAAGCUUCAAUGAUUUUCAUUUACCAUUUACAUUUAUGCUUGUGUGUAUGUUAAUGUUGAUAUAUACUGUUGCUUAACUUCGAAUGUCAUCUAUUAAGUCCCUCUGACUUGUUCUAGUCAGACUUCUUAUAUGCAUGCAUGGUUGCAAUAUUAGUCAUGUUAACUACAUCGGAAGAAUAAAAAAGAUGAAUACCAUAAACGGUGAAGAGAGAGAGAGAGAGAGAAUGACUAGAAAUGAUAUUUCGUUAACUGUAUAAAUUACAAUUACAACAACACUAGCUCAUAUAAACCUCACCACAGCACCCACUUUAAAGUUAACUAGCUAAGAGCUAAUUAACGGAUUUGGAUCCCAUCCGGAUCCAAAUUGUGGGAAUCUUAGGGAUCCUCACAUCUUAGACAUUGGAUCCCCACAAAGUGGAUCCGGAGAGGAUCCUCUUCCCUAAUUAACAAACCAUAUUACUGACUAAUGCUGAGGUGGACCGGUGAUAUGGCAUAUACUUACACUUACAUUUGGGUUCUAGUUUUUUUAGAUGGGCAUCUCUUAGUCUUACUCUUCAAGGAAAAAGGAAGGAUGAUCGCACUUCUUUUUGUCGAUGGCACUAACCAAAUCGUUCUGUUUCUUGAUCACUUCAUCAGCAUUUCCUUCAUGGAUUUAGGGACCUGGUCAGGCAUACCGUACGUGUUGAGAGUUACAGUAAACGCAUUUGGGGUGAACUCUACAAAAGUAAUGUACACUUCAAAUGUUGUAAUCCAGAUUUCACCACCGACGCCUUCACCACCUCCAAGAACUGACGAUCUCCACCGCCGUCCAUCUUCUGGGUACCCAUUCGAUGCGAUGAAGAAGAGGCAUAUCAGAAAACUUUCAUGAUUUUGUAUGGUUUGUUGGAAAUCAGGGAAUGAAUCUCUGCAUAUUAUUGGUUCUUUCCCCUUGUUCCAAAUGAGAAGGUUCUUCCAUUGCGGCUUGCUGCGCUUCGAUACAAAAGAAUCCCUAAUCUCCAGCUUUUCACAGAUCGCGAUCAGCUCCCUCGUCUCCUCCAGGGCCAACUGCCCUGCUCCGGAUUUGGUGUUUUGUCAGAAUUGGAGUUUUCCUCAGAAUGUGGUGCUGUUUCCCCAAACUCUUAUGCUUCUUGUUCGCUGUAGUCCAGGUGUUUGACGAAUUGCCCAGUUUAGAAUUUUCAUGUGAAGGUUAAGUUUUUCAGCCACUUCUUCUAAAUUUCUUACGAUGAUUCUUCAAUAUUCUGUAAAUCAAUUAGUUUGUGGUUGUGGGCAUGGAGUUAUUCAGUUGAUAUAUUGAGUUUAAAAAGCUCAGAGCCGUCUUUCUUAUGAAUCUUUUCUGGGUUCUUCCAGUUGUUUGUGAUAUUUGCUUUCAUGAUUCUUCAUUUCAAGAUCAAUGUUUGUGAUAUUUGGGAUAUUUGGAUUCAAGAAUAUUGGUCAUUGCUAGAUUGUGCAAUUUGUAUGAUGGUGUAUAGUUCUUUCUCUGCUUCACUGGUAUUCUGCAAGUUUAUUUGGUUUGAUCUUCCUGCAACUCUUGAUAUAUUUGGAGAAAUGGGUGUGAAUUCUUGCAUUAUGGCAUGUAUAAUUUUGUGGUUGUUCGGAUUAUGGUUUGUGCCAAAAAUGAGAAGUGUAAUGUUUGAGAAGAUUGUUUAAGUGCUUAUUGAGGAAUUUAUGCAGUAUGUUUUCCUAUCGCAUCCUAUAAUGUUGAGUCUAACCAACUCAGUUGUUAGCAUGUAUCUACAGUAAGUCCGGUUAUACGAUGAAGUUUGAAGAAGUUGUUAACGGUAAAUCCCACGAAGGGUAAUUCCGUGAUGUGAAUAGGUAAAUCCCACGAAGGGUAGAAGAAGUUGUUAACGGUAAAUCUCACGAAGGGUAAUUCUAUGAUGUGAGUAGGUAAAUCCCAUGAAAGGUAAUCCUACAUAGAUGUUGAUUUUUUGUUGUUGAAAUUGUGAAGGCCGAUGCCAUUGUUAAGAGUAGUUGUUUUUCGGCAAAAGCCACAAAGGGAGAUCCCAUGGUACUAUAGUUAAGGCCAAUGCCACACUAUAGUUUGUUACUUUUCUAUUUUAAAGGCCAAUGACAAUGUUAAAUGAAGUUGUUGACAGUAAAUCCCACGAAGGGUAAUCCCACAAGAAAUUGUUAUAACCGGCAUGAGGGUGUGUUACAACUUUAUAAGAGGUUGUUCAUUGAUUGAAGCUCCUGCGAGAAGCAGUGGAAUAUUGGAUGUUUUGGAUGGGAAUAUUGGAUUUUUUAUAUGAGCAAGUAGCAUUUGUGCAUUUUAUCAACCAAUGUUAUCAGUGAGUAGAACUUCGUGGGUUUGGUUUGUCGUGGUGAGAAUUCAAAUGGGUUGCUAAAUUUGGAGGGAAUGAUGGCUAUUGAAAGGCUUGAUUUGCAGGGGAUUGUAAAAUUCUCCAUUGCUGAAAGCUCGAUGCUUGAAGGAUUGGGUUUUUCUGGGCGCUAUUUGUUUUAGUUCAUGGCUAAAAGAUGAGAUGGAAAUCACGGAUAGAAGAUUGCAGAGUUUGUUGUGUCUGUUGGAGGAUCAGGUUGCUGUUUGUUGUGUUGUGUCUGUUGGGGUUUGACUUCUGGGAGACUGCAGUUGAGAAGAAACGGAAGAGCAAAUACAAGCUCAAAUUGCUACAAUCUCAGGGCAACAAAACCUUUUUCAAUCAGAAAACAUCACCAAAGUCAAACUGGAACAAGAACACUUUGCAGUGCGUCCAUUUGUCUUCAAUGUUUGCUAUUUGAGACUUUGUUGCAAUCUCAAAUGGGAUACCCCAGUUGAGAUUGAGGAGGAGUAUUAAGUAUACAAGUCAGCAAUACAGUUAGAAAUACAAUUAGCAAUACAGUUAGUAAGUUGGUUAGUAUUUGGUUAGAGUAGUUAGGCUUUCUCUUAAAAAAACAGCUAUGUAACCUUCAUUCUAUUGGUUAAUACAAAAGCAUAUUUCUCUCUCUAAA